rnacentral:rRNA from 1 species
GACAGAGGGUGCAAACGUUGUUCGGAAUUACUGGGCGUAAAGCGUGUGUAGGCGGCUUUGCAAGUCAGGUGUGAAAGCCCCGGGCUCAACCUGGGAAGUGCACUUGAAACUGCGAAGCUUGAGUAUCGGAGAGGUUGGUGGAAUUCUCGGUGGAGAGGUGAAAUUCGUAGAUAUCGAGGGGAACACCAGUGGCGAAGGCGGCCAACUGGACGAAUACUGACGCUGAGACACGAAAGCGUGGGGAGCAAACAGG